UUAUCUUCUUGUAACAUGAAUGAUAAGGGUAAUUCUUGAAGUCUAAGUAAAGGUGAUGGACCGGGUUUAUGAAUAAGGUUUAUGAGUGUUUUUUACUACAUGUCCGGGACAAAGCUCAACUUCACUGGAACGGGUAACACUAUUAAAGGAAAGGAGAUUAGCAAAUGGGUUCACAAGCUUUGAAUAUGACCUUUGUUUUCGUUCAGUUCACCUCCAAGACGAGCUCGUAGUCCUCUUAGAAGGUCUCCUAUGAGUCGUACAACUGCUCGCUUACGACGGAGCAUGCCUUUCCUUGCGGGGGUGGUGUUUACAAUAGAGGGCGAGCACCAAUCGGAAGAUGUGAGCGGUCAUCAUCCUACUUUGGAUCACCUAGUCCACGCAAGUUACCUCGGAGAUCAAGGAGUCGUAGCCAAUGAGGCCCAUUAAAGGAAGAAGCAGUAGCAACAGCAGCCGCAGUAGUUUGCCCCUGCUGCCUCGUAAACCAUAGGUAAGCACUGCCUCUCUAUAUCCCCAAAUCCCCCUUGCCCUCCCCUCCCCACUCCUCCCCUGCCUUUCCCCCUCCCAUUUUCCAAAAAAAGAAUCUGAGUUAUGUAUGAUGUAAUGUCGAGGUGGUAUUGAAUAUGAGAACAAGAUAUUGUGGCUGUAAUAUGCUCCUAAUUGUAGCAUUUAGGUUUGUCUCAGUUAUGGUGACCAUUAGGUUUGUCUCAUUUAUGUUGGAGGCAAUGUUAAGCACUGGUUAUUUGCUGUUUAUUUUUUCAAAAAUUAUUUAAGCUAAACAUUCUGAUGGAAGAAACAA